UCGAGCGGCAGCGGGGAGUAGCUUGCUACUCUGCCGGCGAGCGGCGGACGGGUGAGUAAAGUCUGGGGAUCUGGCUUAUGGAGGGGGAUAACCAUUGGAAACGGUGGCUAAUACCGCAUGAUGUCGCAAGACCAAAGUGGGGGACUUUAGGGCCUCACGCCAUAAGAUGAACCCAGAUGAGAUUAGCUAGUAGGUGCGGUAAUGGCGUACCUAGGCGACGAUCUCUAGCUGGUCUGAGAGGAUGACCAGCCACACUGGAACUGAGAGACGGUCCAGACUCCUACGGGAGGCAGCAGUGGGGAAUAUUGCACAAUGGGCGGAAGCCUGAUGCAGCCAUGCCGCGUGUGUGAAGAAGGCCUUAGGGUUGUAAAGCACUUUCAGCGGGGAGGAAGGCGGUAAGAGUAAUAUGCUUAUCGAUUGACGUUACCCGCAAAAGAAGCACCGGCUAACUCCGUGCCAGCAGCCGCGGUAAUACGGAGGGUGCGAGCGUUAAUCGGAAUAACUGGGCGUAAAGGGCAUGUAGGCGGUAAGUUAAGUCAGAUGUGAAAUCCCCGAGCUUAACUUGGGAACGGCAUUUGAGACUGGCUGGCUAGAGUUUUGUAGAGGGGGGUAGAAUUCCAGGUGUAGCGGUGAAAUGCGUAGAGAUCUGGAGGAAUACCGGUNGCGAAGGCGGCCCCCUGGACAAGGACUGACGCUGAGGUGCGAAAGCGUGGGUAGCAAACAGGAUUAGAUACCCUGGUAGUCCACGCUGUAAACGAUGUCGAUUUGGAGGUUGUGGCCUAGUGUUAUGGCGUCCGAAGCUAACGCGAUAAAUCGACCGCCUGGGGAGUACGGCCGCAAGGUUAAAACUCAAAUGAAUUGACGGGGGCCCGCACAAGCGGUGGAGCAUGUNGUUUAAUUCGAUGCAACGCGAAGAANCUUACCUACUCUUGAC
rnacentral:rRNA from 1 species